rnacentral:rRNA from 1 species
AUGGGGGAAGUAGCCGCGGUUGCCACCGUGGCCGGCACCAUGGUCGGUAGGAUGGGGCCUAAGCUUGCGGAUUUUUUGCUGAAAAAUCAGAAGCUGCGGGCAGAUCUGGUGCAUGACAUCGAGCACAUCAAAAGAGAGUCCAACAUAAUUUCUGCCACCAUCAAGCAAGACAACAUCGACCGUCCCCCGUGGAGCGGCAACGAACCUCAUAAGCAAUGGAUCAAUAUGGUGCGUGACUUGGCGUGCGCCAUUGACGACUGCAUCGACAGCUUCAUACACCGCAUGCCGCUCAAGACCGGCGUGUCGUGGCCCCGUCGGAAGUACCACAGGGUGAAGACACGGAAGGUCCGUAACAAGUUUGCCAAGGCGAUCCGUGAUCUCAGGAAGACAUCAAAUGAUAUAUUCGAGCUGAGGAGAAAAUACACCGACAAGGAGUUGUAUGGAGGCGGAGGCGGAGGCGGUGGCGGUGGAUCCAACACCUUGGAUCCAGAUGCGCCUGAUGAGGAGAUGGAGACGGACGAGGAGACGGAGGCGGACACCGCCCUUUCGACUGCUAGCCUACAUGUGGGCUUGAAGGCAGCCAGGGAUGAGGUCAUGGAGAUGAUAAGUGAAACGGCGCAAGGCCAACAAGCUAAGGAGCUCAAGGUGAAGGUGAUCUCCAUAGUCGGAUUCGGUGGCAUAGGGAAGACUCUCCUUGCCAGGCAAGCCUACGACACGAUCAAGAACCAAUACCAAGCAUGCGCUUGGGUUUGUGCUUCAGACAAGCGCGCAAAGGCUGUUCUCACAGAGAUACUCCGGAAACUUGAGAAGCAUCCGACCGUUGGCAAUAGUGGUGGAAGUGCAGGCAGCUCCUGCACCAUGAACAAGCUCCGUGCAACCAUAAGAAGGUUCCUUCAGACAAAGAGGUUCAUCAUUGUGAUAGAUGACAUGCGGGAAGAUUUUUGGGAAGUUGUAAAAGAUGCGUUCCCUGUGGUUCCCGGGGAUAGUAACAGAGUAAUCAUUACGACGGCCACUCAGACCAUAGCAAAUGAAUGCAGCUCUGCAAAUGGUCAUGUUUAUGUAAUGAGAACUCUUGACGAGGACCAUUCUAAACAAUUGCUAAUGGAGAUAGCCUCCUUGGAUCAGUGCCCACCACUAGCGAGUGAAACUGAGCUCUGUUCAGAAGCACUAAAGAAAUGUGAUGGUCUACCCCUUGCUCUUGUUACAACAGGCAAGUUAUUGCAUGGUGAUCGCACACGGGAACGAUGGGCAAUUCUGUGUAAAACCCUUGGCGUACAUCUGGAGAAUAAUAAGAAGUUAGCAAGUAUGAAGCAUGUGCUCACUCGUAGCUACACUAGCCUUGGUAGCCAAGAUGUUAAGAACUGCUUGCUAUAUCUGGGUAUUUUCCCCGUUGGUCGUCCAGUCAGGAGAGGAAGCCUGAUAAGGAGAUGGUCAGCCGAAGGGUUCAUCCCAGCAGAGAGUGCCGCUAUAGGAAAUUUUGAUGAGCUGGUCGACCGGAGUAUCAUUCAGCCUAUUGAUGCCAGCAGCAGCAACAUCACAAAGGUGAAGACAUGCCAAACCCACGGCAUGAUGCUCGAGUUCAUCAUGCACAAGUCCAUGUGUCAGAACUUUGUUACUGUGUUGUACGAUAACGCUACCCUAUCCGGUGAUGUCCGCUGGCUUUCUCUGCAUGGUGCAAGCUCCAAAAUGGAUCAAGAGAAUUUGCAUCUUGUCCGGUCUCUGACAAUCUUCGGUAAAGCGCACAAAUCUGUCUUGGACUUCUCCAAGUAUAGACUGAUGCGAGUCUUGGAUUUGGAAGGGUGCAAUGAACAUUUGGAGGACGAGCACCUAAAGGCAAUAUGCAGCAACUUGUUUCUGCUCAGGUACCUAAGCCUCAGGGGCGCAGCUACAGUUAAGGUUCUUCCCAAAGAGAUCAGGAAGCUUCAAGUUUUGGAGACGCUCGAUUUGAGAGGAACGAAUAUAGAGAUCAUGCCCACACAAGUCAUGCAGCUGCCAUCUUUACUUCAUCUGUUUGGAAAGUUUAAGCUCCCACAAGGUGUAGGAGGCCGGAAAAUGCAUAAACUACAUGCUUGGUUGGAAGAGAAUAGUAAACUGCAAACAGUAGCAGGAUUUGUUGUCGACAAUAAGAGCCAACGAUUUGCACAAGUGAUGAAUCAUAUGAAGGUGCUGACUAAGGUGAAAAUAUGGUGCGAGUCUACCGCCGAUGCAAACAGCUCAAGUCAUGUCUCAAAGGGCAUCAAGACGUUCAUGCGGAGAGGCACUGAUUCUUCUGACAAUUCCAGUCAUCUCUCAGAGGCCAUCAAGGACUUCGUCGAGAGAGGCGCAGAUUCAAACACUUCACUUUCGCUCUCAAUGAACUUCAACCACGAAUGGCCUCAAGACUUACAGAAUUUCUCCCUGAAGAAGGACACAACCUACUAUCUAAGAUCACUCAAGCUGCAAGGGAACAACAUAUGCAGCCAGCUGCCUCAGUUUGUUACCAUGCUACGUGGUGUCACUAAGUUGUGCCUUCAAUUCCCUCGUCAUCAGCUGAGUGCUGACAUUCUUGUUUCCCUGGGUAGCGUGAGAGGCCUGAAAUACCUGAAGCUCAUUGCAACCCAGCUAGACAUGCUCGUCAUCGGACAUGAUAUACUCCGAAACAUGCGGCACCUAUGCGUCGUGGUGGAAGUUAUGACUGGGAUGGUAAUCGAAGAGGGAGCUCUGCCAUGCCUCGAGUCUCUCCAGCUACUGUGUAAGGAUCUCAACUGCUUUAGUGGCACGAAGAUCCAGUCCCUACCAUGUCUGAAGGAGGUAGCCCUCCAUGAUGGAGUGUGCAAGGAAACAAAACAGGAGUGGGAAGGAGCAACGAAGAACCAUCCCAGACGUCCCAGGCUCUUGUUUUUCACAAAAAAGAUGGUUGAUGAUCAUUUCAUGGGAAGCGAGGCUGCUGUGGAAAUUAGCCAUGCGGCAACAACUACGGAUACGACGGCUGUGGAAAGUGAGCCUGCGCAGAAUUCCGAGAGCCAUGAUGCACCACCUACUGAUACCACGUUAAUGGUGACAACAUCCCCUGAUGUUAUUUCUACCCGAGAGUCUGUACAAGUUGCUACAACUUCUGAGAUGGUUGGUGCUCAGGACCUGAUGGGAACUGAUUCUGCUACAGAAAGUAGUUCUGUGGCAACAAGUACUGAUACGACCAAAAAGAUUGAUGUGGAAAGUGAGCCUUCAGAAAAUUGUGAGAGCCCAGUAGCACCACCUACUGAUAUGAUGUUAUCAAUGACAACGGCAGGCAAUGUCAUUUCUACUGAAGAGUCUGUCCGUCUUAAUGGUGGCUGUCAACAUGGUGAUGAUGGGAAAGAUGUGGAUAACAUUGAGGACCCAAAAGAUUUUGCUACAAAAGAUGGUCGGAUCACUCAGGUGAUAGAUCAGAUGAACAAUGAAAGUUUUAAAGAGGAGAUGGAAGGAGUGGCAGAUGUAGAGGAUCAGCAGAUGGACAAUGGCACCCAGGGCCUGCGUGCAAGGUUGUUGUCGCUGGUGAAAAUUGGUAUCUUUCAAUAG